GAACAGAAGAGGCUAGGUUUGCCGAAGGAUAGUUAUCGGUGGACGCAAACUUCAGAAAAGUCACUCCACUACUAACUCUUCAGGAAGUAACAUAACUUCUAUAGCUAACUCUUCAGGAAGUAACAUAACACCUUUGACUACAGGCUCUGCUCUACCAAACCUAACUGCUUGUUGAAAAUACGGGUUGAGGAACAAGCUACCACAUUGCGCUUACGCGAGCCGAUGCCUUGUUUGUUGAAUCUCUCUU
rnacentral:lncRNA from 1 species